UCUGGUCAAUGGUUGCUGUGUUUAGUAUAAAAAGGGUCUUUUUUUUGUAACCAUAAACUAGUCGAUUCAUUCUCCAAGUCUGUGAGAGAAUCUCUGGAAUCUUCAACCCAUUUUGUCUUCUCUUCAAUUCUCAUCUUUCCUUUUCUGUGUGAUUAAAGGUUGAAAUCUCCAUGUAAGGUAGGAGUCUUUGUGAUUUCUGCUAUAUGUGUUAGACGAUUGAUCUAGGAUUGAGUUCUUUCUGGGUCCAUUGUAGUGACUUUGUUUCAUAUCUUGAGUUGUGAGGGUUUUGGGUUUGUCCCGUGCCUCUAUGUUGAUAUAGAAGUGUACAAUGAUCUAAGCCUACAAUCGAUGAGAUCUUUGAUGCUUGUUGAUUGGGGAUUUUUUGAGUAUUGUUGAUGUAUUCUCUCUGUACUGAAAUUGUUGUAUCUUUGUGUGAUUUGUAUUAAUAGUGGUAUCAGAGUCUUGCGGAGGCAUCGUUCAAGUCUUCGAUCGAGUUUAUCUCUGGAAAAUUAAUUUUCAAUUGAUAACUUGAAUCGAUUGGAAAUCAGAUGAAACCCUAGGUCUACUAUUUAUAGAUCUAGAGGUUGCUGGAGUAGAUUGUGGUACUGAGAAUACAAUCUUAAAAGAAACUAUUGGUUUCUGUAUGCUCUUUGAGGAGAAGCCCUAGAUCUAGAUUUUAUCAAGUGUGAAAUCCCAAAUCCGAGUUCAUAACGGCCUGUGAUCUUUUUGUAAAACAAGUGCUCUAGUGGUUACAUUAAAAAAUACCACCACUCUGAUUUGCAGCUUUUAACCCUAACUCAUUUCUUGUGUUCUCUUUUGAACUGUUUUCUAUUCUUUCAUAUGUAAAAUUGUGCUUGGUUCUGCAUUAUUAUCGUGGCCUCUGCUAUUUGAUAAUCUUCGUUUUUUUGAGCUAUUCCUAGGUUGUGCCUUGACCUGAGAACUUGAUUCUCACAGAAUCCUGGUGAAUCUGGGAAUCAGUUUGGGAGUGAUCUAUUGUUAUAGUUUUGUGCUUUACCCAUGAGCUAUUGUUGUAUGUGAGUUCAUUAUUUUUUGUUAAAAGAUACAUGGUAGUUCUUGCAUUUGUGUCCCUUUAUAUUUGUUUUUGGAACGGUGACUUUUUUUUUUAAUUCAUCUUUUUUGAAUUGUUGUCACUGAUAUAAUUCUCUUCCUUAAAUAAAGAAAAUUAUUCUUUUCAAAUAUAAUGAUUACAGCCACUUUUGAACUUGGUGUUUAUAAUAGAAAAUGGGAUUUUCCCAUCUAGCAACAAAAGAUAAAGAGAGUUUUAGGUCAACAAAGAGAUUCUAAGCUAAUGAUUAGAAAAAUGAAGUUGAUGAACUAGCCUAUACUUCUAUUAUCUUGUAUUUACCUGGUCAAAUAUUAAGAAAAGUAGGAAAAAAGAAUACUACCAAAGAAUUGUGGAAAAGACUAGAAGAACUUUACCUGGCUAAAUCUCUGCCAAAUAAACUGUUUCUUUUGGAAAGAUUCUUUGGCUUUAAAAUUGAUUCCUCUGAGGACUUAGAUGAUAAUCUUGAUGUCUUCAAUAAAUUACUCCACGAUAUCACUAAUACAAGGAUAAGGUAUCUGAGAAAUAUAAAGUUGUUGUCCUAUUAAAUGCAAUACCAGAAAUCUUAAAGGAUGUCAAAACUACCAUAAAUAUGGCAUAGACAUCCUCACACUUGAUAUUGUUAUUGAAUCCUUGAGAAGUAAAGAACUAGAAUUAAAUAUGAGAAACAUAGGAAUACGUCUGAGAGUUUCUUUGUGAGAGACAAACCUUAGGUUAGGCAAAAAUAGGGACAACAAUUCAGCUCAUCGGCUCGAAAAAAUCCCAAACCGGCCCAGCUCAAGGAUCGAGUCGAGUCCCAUUUUGAAAGGACGAAAUGGGCUCACACGGGCCGGCUCGAGCUUCAACUGCCUUUAAAAGGUGCCAUUUUGCUACCUUAAGAGGUAGCCAAGUGGGGCCUUUCAUUUUUUAAGGUCCAUAAUAAAAGGCAGCAGCACAAUGCCUUAAAAAGGCAGCACAAUGUUGCCUUCAAUUUACUUAUUAAAAAAAUUAACAGUAAAAGGCUUGUUCGGAAAGGCCAGAGCUAAAAACUCAGGCUGAGCCUAAAUUUUUUGUUUGGCUCAAUUCGAGCUCAAAAAAAUCUCACACCAUUUUACUUGAGCCGAGCUUGAGCCUCGAGUUUUGACUUGGCUCGUUAACAUCCCUAGGCAAAAGUGAAGUCAGAAAGAUCAAAAUAGCCAAGUAAAUAGUAAUAAGAAAAAAGGUAGAGAGAGGAUUAGAUCUAAAUCUAGGACUAGAAAUAAGAAGUGAUAUGGGUGAGGAAAAUAAGGUCACUUUAUAAAGGACUGUUAUCAAAAGCAGAAUGAAAUAAAAGAAAAGAAAAUAGAUGAAGGUAAUAUGGUAGAACUUGUAGAGUCUAACACCAUUGAUGUGUAUGUUGUUAGUAAGCAUACCACUAAUCUAAACACUGCCUAAUUUUUUAGCUAACAGUGAUCAGAACCAAGAAUGGAUAUUGGAUUCAGGUUGUACCUUUCAUGUGACAUCUAGAAAACGAUGGUUAGACAAUUUUUAAAAUACUUAGUGGAGGUGAAGUGGUUAUGGGAAAUAAUGUUGUAUGUAAAGUGGAAGGUAUAAGUAAUGUUACCUUGAUGUUUGACAAUGGAUAUAUCUAUACUCUUGAAAGAGUUAGAUAUGUCCUUGAAUUGAAUAGGAACAUUAUCUCCACCGGGGAUUUAGAUGACAUGGACCUCAGGCCUGCAAGGUAAAUUUGGAAAUGGCUUAGUUAAAGUGAUGAGAGGAUCACUUGUCAUUUUCAAGGGUUAUAAAAGAAAUGGAAUACAUAUCACCAAAGCUGAUGUUGUCAUGAAUAAUGCUGCUAAAGUUACCAGUUUUGAAUCUGAUUCUACCUUCAAGUGGCAUAAAAGGCUGGCUCAUGUGAGUGAAAAAGGACUUCAAAUCCUUCAUAAGAAAGGGGUUUUUGGUAAAGAUUAUGUAACAAAAAAUCAUUUUUUGUGAAGAUUGCACCCUAGGAAAGCAACAUAGAUUACACUUUAAUACUGGUCAACAUAAAUCCACUUCUACCUUGAAUAUAUUCACUCUGACCCUUGGGGAACUUCAUCCACCACCACUCAAGGAGAGAAUAGGUAUUUCCCAGCCUUAAUUGAUGAUUAUUCAAAUAAAGUCUGGACUUACCUACUUGAACAAAAAUUUGAGACUUUUGAAAGGUUUAAAUGGUUAAAGACUUUGAUAGAAAAUCAAACAUCUAAGAAGAUUAAAAUUCUAAGGACUGAUAAUGGUUUAGAAUUUUACAAUGCUGAAUUUGACUAGUUUUGCAAAGAAAAUGGAAUCCAAAGACAUAAAACGGUACCCUAUACCUAGGACUCUUUUGGACAAAGUCGAAUGUAUCAUGGUUGGUUGUGGAGUUCCCAAGGUACUCUGGGGAGAAGCUGUAAUAACAGCAACCUAUAUAGUUAAUAGAACUCUCUCUAGUGCACUAGGAUGUAAAACACCUGAGGAAGUGUGGUUUGGAAAGAGUCCAGAGUACUCUCAUAUAAAAUUUUUUGGUUGUGCAGUCUAUUCUCAUUAGAGUAUUGGUAAACUUGAGCCAUGGACUCAAAAGUGUAUUUUCUUGGGAUGUCCUGAUGGAGCUAACACACCAUUUGAGCCCCCUUAUUUCUCAUUAUAACGUUUUGAAUAGUGUUUUAUUUGAAAAAUGAGUGGCUGAAAAGUUUUUGAUUUAUGUGUAAUAUUAUUUUAUUGAAGAUUGUGUAGUUAAAAGUAUGAGAGAUAAAAUUUUAAUUUAAUGUAAUGAGAAAUAAUGGGGAUCAAACGGGGUCUAAAUAACAUAGUUUAUGGGCCAGAGAUUUAACGGGUUUUAAAUUCAUUACCAAAAGGGGUGUCACUUUUAAUGAAAAUGAAAUGUCUUGUCUUAGUGAUAAAGAGACUGAAAGAAAUUUGGAUGUUGGAGAGGGUAAUGGGACUAUGUUCCAGGUAGAACCACAGUUGCCUCUUGAGUCUACUUAUCAGAUCCAGGUGGAGUAUGGAUAUGAUGGGGUUGGACCUAGCACUGUUGAACUUGAACCAAAGGGCGGCACAAAUGAAGUUGUGACGAUGAGAGUGAACCUCUUGAAAACCUAAAUGACUACCAACUAAAUAGAGAUAGAGUUAUAAGGGAGAUUAGGGAUCCAUCUAGCUUACCCCUCUUGCUAUUUUGUCUUACCAAGAUCUAGCUUUUAAGGAGCCAAAAUCUUAUGAUGAAGUCAUAUCCAACCAGUUGAGUAAACACUGGCAAGUGGCCAUGGAAGAUGAAAUGAAAUCCCUUUUGAAAAAUUAGACUUGGAAACUUGUCACCAAGCCUAAAUAUCAAUUUGUUGUAGAUUGUAAAUGGGUUUACACUGUGAAAGGAGGUUCAAAAAAGUAACCUCUUAGAUUUAAGGCCAGACUGAUUGCCAAGGGAUUCAUACAAAAUCAGGGAAUAGAUUACAAUGAAAUUUUUUCAUCUAUAGUAAAAUAUACCACAAUCAGGGUAAUGUUAGCUCUUGUGGCUCAUUAUGACUUCGAAUUAGAGCAAAUGGAUGCUAAAAUAGCUUUCUUGCAUGGGGACCUAGAUAAGAUCAUCUAUAUGAAAUAGCCAAGGGAUCUAUAGAUAAGAAUAAGCCUGAUCAUGUUUGCUUGCUAAAAGAUCCUUGUAUGGUUUAAAAGAAUGACCUAUACAAUGGUAUAAAAUGUUUGAUACAUUUGUUUCUUCAAUUGGAUUUAUAGGAGUUCUUUUGACCAUUGUUUGUACUUUAAAAGAAAUAAGGUGCUGUGAUUGUUUACCUUUUGUUGUAUGUAGAUGAUAUGUUACUCAUUGGGCAUGAUAGUAAUUGCAUCUAUGAUAUCAAAAGGUUUUUGAGCUCUAAAUUUGAAAUGAAAGAUUUGGGACAUGCUAAAAGAAUCCUAUGUAUGGACAUUAUAAGAAAUAGACCUAAAAGAUUACUUGUUUUGAAACAAACUUCUUAUGUGGAAAAAAUGUUGUUAAAAUAUGCUAUGCAUGAAUAUAAAUCUGUUAAUUUACCUUUGGCCAGUCAUUUCAAAUUUGGCAAAGAACAAUGCCCUAUAGAUGAAUCUGAUGUUAAGUAUAUGGAAAAGGUUUCCUAUGUUAAUGCUAUGGGAUUUGUAAUGUACACAAUGAUAUGUACUAGACUUAAUGUGGCUUAUGUUAUUAGUACCCUGAGCCUUUUUAUGGCAAACACUGGACCUGAGCAUUGGACAACCUUAAAAUGGCUUUUUAAGGUACUUGAGAGGAUCUUCACAUUUAGGAUUAUGUUUUAAAGUCUGUAAUGAAGGGGUUGUAUUCAAGUGAUAUGUAGAUGCAGACUAUGCUAGGGAUAGGGAUAAUAAAAAGUCAACAACUGCAUACAUAGUUACUUUGUGUGGUACUUGUAUUAGUUGAAAAUCUCAACUUCAACAAAUUGUUGCAUUAUCCACUGUUGAGGCUGAAUAUGUAGCUACUGCUGAGGCCAUUAAGGAAGCUUUAUGGUUAAAAGGGUUGUUAACUGAAAUAUAUAAACUAAAAUAACCUAUAGUAGUGUAUUCAGACAAUAAAAGUGCAAUACAUUUUUGUAAAAAUCCUAUUUUGCAUGAAAGAACCAAACAUAUUGAUUUUAAACUACAUUUUAUAAGAGAUGUAAUCUCAAAAGAAUUAUUACUUUUUGAAAAAAUUCCCACUGAAUACAAUCCAUCUGACAUGGGAACCAGCGUACUGCCUUUAAAAAAGUUCAAGUCUUGUUUACAAUUACUGAAUAUUGAUGCAUCUUAAUGCUUUGGUCUAUGUAGGUAUAUAAAACUUGGUGACCACUGGAAAUGCUAAGGAGCUACUGCUAUGUUGGAUAAGUAGUAUGUUAGGCUUCUAGUAUGACCACUAGCAUCAAGGUGGAGAUUUUUUGGGCUAUGAUGCCACAUUUAGUCCAAUAAUUUAGGCUGUGAUGAUAUGGCCUGUCAGCCUUGAUAAGUAAAACUGCCCAAUAAAAUCUCAUAGAAGGCCCACAACCCCAAGCCCAAUUUCGGCCGAAUAUAUUGUAUGUUCAAAGUGCGACUUUAGUUGCUGAUUGAAUAGUGGAAACAUUAGUCACUCUGGACCAUUAGAUCACAUCCCAAAUUAAUGGUUGUUGUAUUUAGUAUAAAAGGGGUCUUUCUUGUAACCCUAAAUCAAUCAAUUCAUUCUUCAAGUCCGUGAGAGAGUCUCUAGAAUCUUCAACCCCUUUCGUCUUCUCUUCAAUUCUCAUCUUCCCAUUUUUUUGUGAUUAAAAGUUGAAAUCUCUGUGUGAGAUAGGAGUCUGUGAUUUCCGUUCUGUGCGUAAGACGGUUGAUCUGGGACUGAAUUCUUUUUGGGUUCAUUGUAGUGACUUUGUUUCAUAUCCGAGUUGUGAGGGUUUUGGGUCUAUCCAGUACCUUUGUGUUGAUAAGGAAAGGGUACAGUGAUCUGAAACUAUGAUUAAUGAGAUCUUUGAUGCUGGUUGAUUGGGGAUUUUUCGAGUGUUGUUGAUGUAUUCUCUUUGUACUGAAAUUGUUGUAUCUUUGAAUGAUUUGUAUUAAGAGUUUAACAAGCAAAUUUCUAAGAACCAGUGUUACAUGAUCAAGCUUGCACAACCAAACUUCAAUCUAAAAAAAUGUGUAAACCAAUGGGUGACCAAAAAAUGAAAGACCUCUCUUGGAAUCAUCAAAAUCUCAUCACUUCCUAAACUUCAAAUUCAAAGUAGAAAUUACAAAAAAUUUCUCAAGCACAAACAUGAACUGGUAUCACAUAAAAAGAAC
rnacentral:lncRNA from 1 species